rnacentral:rRNA from 1 species
GAUGGACGCUAGCGAUAGGCUUAACACAUGCAAGUCGAGGGGUAACGUGUUGGAAGCUUGCUUCCGAUGACGACGACCGGCGGAUGGGUGCGUAACGCGUAUGCAACUUGCCUCACAGUGGAGAAUAACCCGGAGAAAUCCGGACUAAUACUCCAUACACUCUUAAGUACGCCUGUACAUGAGAGGAAAGAUUUAUCGCUGUGAGAUAGGCAUGCGUCCUAUUAGGUAGUUGGUGAGGUAACGGCUCACCAAGCCGACGAUAGGUAGGGGUGCUGAGAGGCAGAUCCCCCACAUUGGGACUGAGACACGGCCCAAACUCCUACGGGAGGCAGCAGUGAGGAAUAUUGGUCAAUGGAGGAAACUCUGAACCAGCCAAGUCGCGUGAAGGAAGAAUGCCCUAAGGAUUGUAAACUUCUUUAGCGAGCGAGUAAGGACUUCCACGUGAUGGGAGUUUGAAAGUAGCUCGAGAAUAAGUAUCGGCUAACUCCGUG